UCUCGUGACCAGGAAGCCUCCUUAAGGAAGAAAGUGACACAGGAUGGCAGAGCAGCAAGAUAGAAGGAGCUUGGGGUCCUGGUGACAUCCUGGGGAGGCUGUACGAGCCAGGACUGCUUGCUUGAACAGUGAAAGCUGAAGCAGCACUGAUUGCCAAAAUGAUCUCCAACUACACAAGCCACGGGCACAGCAGCUCCAGAACGGCCGAGGAAUCUGAGGCA
rnacentral:lncRNA from 1 species